rnacentral:rRNA from 1 species
CACGUAGGGCGCAAGCGUUGUCCGGAAUUAUUGGGCGUAAAGAGCUCGUAGGUGGUUUGUUACGUCCGCUGUGAAAUCCUAGGGCUUAACCCUGGGCUUGCAGUGGAUACGGGCAGACUAGAGUUCGGCAGGGGAGACUGGAAUUCCUGGUGUAGCGGUGAAAUGCGCAGAUAUCAGGAGGAACACCGGUGGCGAAGGCGGGUCUCUGGGCCGAAACUGACGCUGAGGAGCGAAAGCGUGGGGAGCAAACAGG